ACACAGAGGGUGCGAGCGUUAAUCGGAAUUACUGGGCGUAAAGCGCGCGUAGGCGGCUUGGUCAGUCGGAUGUGAAAGCCCCGGGCUCAACCUGGGAAUGGCAUUCGAUACUGCCAGGCUAGAGUAUGGGAGAGGGAAGUGGAAUUUCCGGUGUAGCGGUGAAAUGCGUAGAUAUCGGAAGGAACACCAGUGGCGAAGGCGACUUCCUGGCCCAAUACUGACGCUGAGGUGCGAAAGCGUGGGGAGCGAACAGGAUUAGAUACCCUAGUAGUCC
rnacentral:rRNA from 1 species